CGUAGGUGGCGAGCGUUAUCCGGAUUUAUUGGGUUUAAAGGGUGCGUAGGCGGCUGAUUAAGUCAGCGGUGAAAGGUAGUAGCUUAACUGUUUUACAUGCCGUUGAUACUGGUUAGCUUGAGUUGACAGAAGGCAGAUAGAAUUUCUGGUGUAGCGGUGAAAUGCUUAGAUACCAGGAGGAAUACCGAUUGCGAAGGCAGUCUGCUGCAGUCACACUGACGCUGAGGCACGAAAGUGCGGGGAUCAAACAGGAUUAGAUACCCUGGUAGUCCGCACAGUAAACGAUGAUUACUAGUUGUUGGCGCAAGUCAGUGACCAAGGGAAACCGAUAAGUAAUCCACCUGGGGAGUACGCCGGCAACGGUG
rnacentral:rRNA from 1 species